AGUUUGUAUGAUCCAUUAACUGAAUCGAUAAAGUAUCAGGUUGUAAUGUGAACACAAAAGGACUAUCCGUAGGAUUGUAUGUUACAUAUGGAAAAUUUUUGGAAGUUUUAGUAAAAUAAAGUAUAGGCGAAGAGUUUGCCAUUUGUAGGGUUGUUCAAAAAGAAGGGAUCCAUAUUGGAAUUUGUCAUUUUGUACAUGGUAUGUUGAUCGAUAAUAUUUUACAGGUGCAAGAAAUUAAACUAGUAUUGAUACCUCAUGUGUGGGUGUGUUAACGGAUUGAACUUUUAGAAAUGCAGCGAAACGAACAUACAAAGACAAAGAUUGUAUUAAUACAUAAUGUCGAAAAUCCCAUGUAUCUUCAAUCUAAGAAAAACAGAAGAAGAGUUUCACUACAUUUAAACACACAAUAAUGAAUUUAUUGAAACGUGUAUCACUUUAAAAAAAAAUUUGUUUUCAUCCAGCAAAUGACUUGUUUCUCUUUGUUCAGGAAGUGUUUUUAAUAAAACACCAGCCACUGUUUUUACAUAUAAAGAAGUUCCUGAAAUAAAAGAGGAAAAGUGAAUUAUUUCGUUAAAUGGUAAAACGCUUGAUUUGUUGACAGAUAUUUCAACAGAAGAUAUUUGAACUAAAUAAAAAAAGACGGUUAAUUAAAAUGUUUUUCGAUUAAAAAAAUCACUGACCGUCAUGAAGGAAUCUUGAAGAAUCUGAGAACAAAUCGUGGGUGAAAAUUCGAGAAGGAUGAGCGGUGCACUCCUUUCCCAGUGUUUUCUUCGUAAUUUUAUUUAAAAAUUGAUUCCUUCAAAACAAUUGAAAUUC